CCUACGGGUGACAGCAGUAGGGAAUAUUGCUCAAUGGGGGAAACCCUGAAGCAGCAACGCCGCGUGGAGGAUGAAGGUUUUCGGAUUGUAAACUCCUUUUGUUAGAGAAGAUAAUGACGGUAUCUAACGAAUAAGCACCGGCUAACUCCGUGCCAGCAGCCGCGGUCAUACGGAGGGUGCAAGCGUUACUCGGAAUAACUGGGCGUAAAGAGCGCGUAGGCGGGAUAGCAAGUCAGAUGUGAAAUCCUAUGGCUUAACCAUAGAACUGCAUUUGAAACUGUUAUUCUAGAGUAUUGGAGAGGUAAGUGGAAUUCUUGGUGUAGGGGUAAAAUCCGUAGAGAUCAAGAGGAAUACUCAUUGCGAAGGCGACCUGCUAGAACAUAACUGACGCUGAUGCGCGAAAGCGUGGGGAGCAAACAGGAUUAGAUACCCCUGUAGUC
rnacentral:rRNA from 1 species